ACCAAUGAUGUGUUGUCCACAAUUCGAGGUGUAGUUGACUUCCAAGUCCCUGCUUCAGGGAGAACCUACUUGGGGUCCUACAUUCAAAUGAGAUGCCUGGGCAUUUCCUGAGGU